ACGUAUGGGGCAAGCGUUAUCCGGAUUUACUGGGUGUAAAGGGAGCGUAGGCGGUAUGGCAAGUCAGAAGUGAAAGCCUGGGGCUCAACCCCGGAAUUGCUUUUGAAACUGUCAAACUAGAGUGUCGGAGGGGUAAGCGGAAUUCCUAGUGUAGCGGUGAAAUGCGCAGAUAUUAGGAGGAACACCGGUGGCGAAGGCGGCUUACUGGACGACCACUGACGCUGAGGCUCGAAAGCGUGGGGAGCAAACAG
rnacentral:rRNA from 1 species